GUUUGAUCCUGGCUCAGAUUGAACGCUGGCGGCAUGCCUUACACAUGCAAGUCGAACGGUAACAGGUUAAGCUGACGAGUGGCGAACGGGUGAGUAAUAUAUCGGAACGUGCCCAGUCGUGGGGGAUAACUGCUCGAAAGAGCAGCUAAUACCGCAUACGACCUGAGGGUGAAAGCGGGGGAUCGCAAGACCUCGCGCGAUUGGAGCGGCCGAUAUCAGAUUAGGUAGUUGGUGGGGUAAAGGCUCACCAAGCCAACGAUCUGUAGCUGGUCUGAGAGGACGACCAGCCACACUGGGACUGAGACACGGCCCAGACUCCUACGAGAGGCAGCAGUGGGGAAUUUUGGACAAUGGGCGCAAGCCUGAUCCAGCCAUGCCGCGUGCGGGAAGAAGGCCUUCGGGUUGUAAACCGCUUUUGUCAGGGAAGAAAAGGUUCUGGUUAAUACCUGGGACUCAUGACGGUACCUGAAGAAUAAGCACCGGCUAACUACGUGCCAGCAGCCGCGGUAAUACGUAGGGUGCAAGCGUUAAUCGGAAUUACUGGGCGUAAAGCGUGCGCAGGCGGUUAUGCAAGACAGAUGUGAAAUCCCCGGGCUCAACCUGGGAACUGCAUUUGUGACUGCAUAGCUAGAGUACGGUAGAGGGGGGAUGGAAUUCCGCGUGUAGCAGUGAAAUGCGUAGAUAUGCGGAGGAACACCGAUGGCGAAGGCAAUCCCCUGGACCUGUACUGACGCUCAUGCACGAAAGCGUGGGGAGCAAACAGGAUUAAAUACCCUGGUAGUCCACGCCCUAAACGAUGUCAACUGGUUGUUGGGAGGGUUUCUUCUCAGUAACGAAGCUAACGCGUGAAGUUGACCGCCUGGGGAGUACGGCCGCAAGGUUGAAACUCAAAGGAAUUGACGGGGACCCGCACAAGCGGUGGAUGAUGUGGUUUAAUUCGAUGCAACGCGAAAAACCUUACCUACCCUUGACAUGUCUGGAAUCCUGAAGAGAUUUGGGAGUGCUCGAAAGAGAGCCAGAACACAGGUGCUGCAUGGCCGUCGUCAGCUCGUGUCGUGAGAUGUUGGGUUAAGUCCCGCAACGAGCGCAACCCUUGUCAUUAGUUGCUACGAAAGGGCACUCUAACGAGACUGCCGGUGACAAACCGGAGGAAGGUGGGGAUGACGUCAGGUCAUCAUGGCCCUUAUGGGUAGGGCUACACACGUCAUACAAUGGCCGGGACAGAGGGCUGCCAACCCGCGAGGGGGAGCUAAUCCCAGAAACCCGGUCGUAGUCCGGAUCGUAGUCUGCAACUCGACUGCGUGAAGUCGGAAUCGCUAGUAAUCGCGGAUCAGCUUGCCGCGGUGAAUACGUUCCCGGGUCUUGUACACACCGCCCGUCACACCAUGGGAGCGGGUUCUGCCAGAAGUAGUUAGCCUAACCGCAAGGAGGGCGAUUACCACGGCAGGGUUCGUGACUGGGGUGAAGUCGUAACAAGGUAACCA
rnacentral:rRNA from 1 species